GAGCUCGCUUCAGCAGCACAUGUACAAAGCUGGAACGAUAUAGAGAAGAUUGGGAUGGCCCCUGUGCAAAGAUGACACGCAAAUUCCUGAAGUGUUCUGUAUUUUA
ensembl:snRNA U6 U6 spliceosomal RNA